UGAAAAGCGUAGUCGAUGGGCAACGGGUUAAUAUUCCCGUACUGGUGAUAAUUGCGAUGGGGGGACGGGAGAAGGCUAAGUUAGCUGGGCGACGGUUGUCCCGGUUUAAAGAUGUAGGUGGGUGAAUUAGGCAAAUCCGGUUCACCAUACACUGAGGUCUGAUGACGAGUCACUACGGUGAUGAAGUAACUGAUGCCAUGCUUCCAGGAAAAGCCUCUAAGCUCUAGAUUAUCA
rnacentral:rRNA from 1 species